AAAUUGAAGAGUUUGAUCAUGGCUCAGAUUGAACGCUGGCGGCAGGCCUAACACAUGCAAGUCGAACGGUAACAGGAAGCAGCUUGCUGCUUUGCUGACGAGUGGCGGACGGGUGAGUAAUGUCUGGGAAACUGCCUGAUGGAGGGGGAUAACUACUGGAAACGGUAGCUAAUACCGCAUAACGUCGCAAGACCAAAGAGGGGGACCUUCGGGCCUCUUGCCAUCGGAUGUGCCCAGAUGGGAUUAGCUAGUAGGUGGGGUAAAGGCUCACCUAGGCGACGAUCCCUAGCUGGUCUGAGAGGAUGACCAGCCACACUGGAACUGAGACACGGUCCAGACUCCUACGGGAGGCAGCAGUGGGGAAUAUUGCACAAUGGGCGCAAGCCUGAUGCAGCCAUGCCGCGUGUAUGAAGAAGGCCUUCGGGUUGUAAAGUACUUUCAGCGGGGAGGAAGGGAGUAAAGUUAAUACCUUUGCUCAUUGACGUUACCCGCAGAAGAAGCACCGGCUAACUCCGUGCCAGCAGCCGCGGUAAUACGGAGGGUGCAAGCGUUAAUCGGAAUUACUGGGCGUAAAGCGCACGCAGGCGGUUUGUUAAGUCAGAUGUGAAAUCCCCGGGCUCAACCUGGGAACUGCAUCUGAUACUGGCAAGCUUGAGUCUCGUAGAGGGGGUAGAAUUCCAGGUGUAGCGGUGAAAUGCGUAGAGAUCUGGAGGAAUACCGGUGGCGAAGGCGGCCCCCUGGACGAAGACUGACGCUCAGGUGCGAAAGCGUGGGGAGCAAACAGGAUUAGAUACCCUGGUAGUCCACGCCGUAAACGAUGUCGACUUGGAGGUUGUGCCCUUGAGGCGUGGCUUCCGGAGCUAACGCGUUAAGUCGACCGCCUGGGGAGUACGGCCGCAAGGUUAAAACUCAAAUGAAUUGACGGGGGCCCGCACAAGCGGUGGAGCAUGUGGUUUAAUUCGAUGCAACGCGAAGAACCUUACCUGGUCUUGACAUCCACGGAAGUUUUCAGAGAUGAGAAUGUGCCUUCGGGAACCGUGAGACAGGUGCUGCAUGGCUGUCGUCAGCUCGUGUUGUGAAAUGUUGGGUUAAGUCCCGCAACGAGCGCAACCCUUAUCCUUUGUUGCCAGCGGUCCGGCCGGGAACUCAAAGGAGACUGCCAGUGAUAAACUGGAGGAAGGUGGGGAUGACGUCAAGUCAUCAUGGCCCUUACGACCAGGGCUACACACGUGCUACAAUGGCGCAUACAAAGAGAAGCGACCUCGCGAGAGCAAGCGGACCUCAUAAAGUGCGUCGUAGUCCGGAUUGGAGUCUGCAACUCGACUCCAUGAAGUCGGAAUCGCUAGUAAUCGUGGAUCAGAAUGCCACGGUGAAUACGUUCCCGGGCCUUGUACACACCGCCCGUCACACCAUGGGAGUGGGUUGCAAAAGAAGUAGGUAGCUUAACCUUCGGGAGGGCGCUUACCACUUUGUGAUUCAUGACUGGGGUGAAGUCGUAACAAGGUAACCGUAGGGGAACCUGCGGUUGGAUCACCUCCUUACCUUAAAGAAGC
rnacentral:rRNA from 1 species